UUGUCUCUUAGAGUUCCUUGAACGCUUCAUAUGUAAGGCUAUCUAUCUAAGAUAUCCCUUCUUCAAUGAAGUGUUUGGGGGAACUCUUGGGUUCAA
rnacentral:pre_miRNA from 1 species